rnacentral:rRNA from 1 species
AGAGUUUGAUCCUGGCUCAGAAGGAACGCUGGCAGCGUGCAUAACACAUGCAAGUCGAACGAUGAAGCAUUCUUCGGAAUGUGGAAGAGUGGCGAACGGGUGAGGAACACGUAAGAAUCUGCCCCUCGGUCGGGGACAACUCUUGGAAACGAGAGCUAAUACCCGAUACGCUGUGGAGUGAAAGAAUUUCGCCGAGGGAUGAUCUUGCGUCUGAUUAGCUAGUUGGUGUGGUAAUGGCACACCAAGGCGACGAUCAGUAGCUGGUCUGAGAGGAUGAACAGCCACAUUGGAACUGAGACACGGUCCAAACUCCUACGGGAGGCAGCAGUGGGGAAUUUUCCGCAAUGGACGAAAGUCUGACGGAGCGACGCUGCGUGAAGGAUGACGGCCUGCGGGUUGUAAACUUCUUUUCUCGAAGAAGAAGCUCUGACGGUAUUCGAGGAAUAAGCAUCGGCUAACUCCGUGCCAGCAGCCGCGGUAAUACGGAGGAUGCAAGUGUUAUUCGGAAUGAUUGGGCGUAAAGCGUCUGUAGGCUGUAUAGAAAGUCUUUUGUUAAAUGCCUCGGCUCAACCGAGAUCCAGCAAAGGAAACUUCUAUACUUGAGGGAAGUAGAGGUACAGGGAAUUCCCGGUGGAGCGGUGAAAUGCGUAGAUAUCGGGAGGAACACCAAUAUGGCGAAGGCACUGUACUGGGCUUUACCUGACGCUCAGAGACGAAAGCUAAAGGAGUGAUUAGGAUUAGAUACCCUAGUAAUUUUAGCCGUAAACGAUGGAAACUCACUGCCGAGCGAAAUACAACGAGCGGUGGUCAAGCUAACGCGUGAAGUUUCCCGCCUGGGGAUUACGCUUGCAAAAGUGAAACUCAAAGGAAUUGACGGGGACCCGCACAAGCGGUGGAGUAUGUGGUUUAAUUCGAUGCAACACGAAGAACCUUACCAGGGUUUGAAAUCAUUUCAAAACUCCUUGAAAGAGGAGCCUCCUUCGGGAUGAAAUGACAGGUGGUGCAUGGCUGUCGUCAGCUCGUGUUGUGAAAUGUCGAGUUAAGUCUCGUAACGAGCGCAACCCAUGUCUCUUGUUGCUCACUGAGUGCUUAAGAGAGACUGCCGACCAACAUCGGAGGAAGGUGUGGAUGAUGUCAAGUCAGCAUGCCCCU